AGAGACUGUCCGGUUUGGCCAAUAGAGCAGGGUUACACAAGUGAAUUGGUUGACUGCUGAGGAAGGAGGCCUGAGGGGAAAAGAAAGAAAGUGCUUGCUUUACAAAAGGGGGUUUUCACUUAUAUAACUAAUAUGAUUGGUUGGUUAAGUAGUUUGCACAACUAGGGAAUCACUCACUGAGCUGGUCAGCUGAGGAGAAGAAAGUCUGCCUGGAUUCUGGUUGGAGACUUUUGCAGGCAAGAGGAGGGAAGAUGUUACUGUAGUGCUUCUGACUCAGCAGACUGCAUAGAGUGGAUGAACAAAGACUCUGGUUUACACUACAGCUGUAAGUUGACCUAUGUUAUGCUACAUCAGUUACAUAACAGAAGCUGACGUAACUUAGGUCGACUUACAGUGGUGUCUACACCAUGCUGUGUUGAUGGGAGACGCUAUCUUAUGCUUCUCGGGGAGCUGGAGUUCAGAAGUCAAGGGGAGUGUGCUCUGCCAUUGACUUAAUGAGUCUUCACCAGACUGGCUAAAUCGACACCGCUGCAUCAAUCCCAGCAGACCUAUCUAGCCAUAAGUAUAGACAUGGCCUAAGUGAGACUCAGGUGAACUCAAGCUAAGCUUUUGGAACUCUGAGUUGCUUUUCAUUGUGUUUCUAUGGGGACUGACUUGUUUAGAUUCAAUUUGUUUCUUUUGUUUGUGUAUACGUGAAGACAAUUUAUGUGUAUUGUGAAGUAGCCUUUUAUAGCUGAAAUUAAGCUAUUAGUUUGUUUAUCUUUUGUAAAGUUGAUAUUUCAAAUUAAGUUCAUUCCUUUUGGACUUGCUUAUGG